UUUGGUAACAUUUUUUGUAACACUUUAAUAUUAUGUAAAACUUUAUAGUAACACUUUGAUAUUAGGUAGCACUUGAUUGUAACAGUUUGUUUGUUUUGUCUUGAAUUUUUAUAUGCUCAAUCUUUUCUUAUUAAUUUUUUUUAAAGAGCUCAAUCUAUUUUUUGUGUUAUCAAUACUUCGCUUUUUUUUUUUUUUUUUUUUAAAAAAAAAUUUUCUUCUUCCUCCUAUUUCUUCCUCAAGCUUUCACUGUCUAUUUACACCGCACGUCCUUUCCUCAGGCUUCCACUGCUACCUCCUUCUCGCUCCUGGUUAUUCACCAUAGCCACCAUCCAUUGCAACUCGUGCUCCAAGCCGAAUACCUACACAACAGGCCGCGCUCCAAGUUAUAGAGAACAAUUGCCACCUCUAAUGACAGCGCGCGAUUGCCGCCUUCUGGCCUCCAUCCUCGGCAGCUUCCAUUUUAAUGUUAGGGUGGGUUGGUUUAGUUCCCUUUCUUUUCCAUUAUCAACAAGAAUUUGAUUUAGUCUGCAAACACCGCUAAAGCUUAAUCGAUGCAAAAAUCGGUAUGGUUUCCUGACCGUUCUGGAAGAAAUAGACAAGCUGAUGUUGGAAGAGAGUUUGAAAGGGAAUGAAAUGAAAUGAAUAGAUCUUUGUCACUCUUGGAUUAUUAUACCAGCUGCUAGUUGGCGCUAUCCACCUCACAAAGAUUUCAUGCCUAGGGUGCCUUCCAAGUAUAUUUGCGGUUCCAUGUAAUUGAUUGGAAUUAAUAGCAUUCCAGUUUUCUUUCACACGAGCUCUAAUAAAAGCACAAGUGCUUAAAGGAAUCUCUUCACCUCUUCCAAAAGCAAGGUUCUGAUGGGGAGUUGUUUUGUUCUCGCAAUAAAAAGCACUAAUUCUUAUUAUUGCCUUAUUUCAUUUUUGUUCUAGUUGUUUGAUAUAUGAUGCUUUCACACAUAUAUAGGAUCAAAUGGAUCUAGAUGAAGGAUUGGGAUAACAAGUGAUGAUGCCACAAGAAGUGUACUUGCAUAUAUCCCAUUUUGCUGCUGCUGUCACUUACUGCAACUGCUGUUUUACCGCUGCCACUUCUGUUUUACAGCUGUUACAUCUGUUUUUUUGCUGCUGUCGUUGUUGUUUUGAGAUGCUACUACUACUUUUAUGCUUCUAUGCUGUGUGUUGCUGACUUUUGCUACUGUUGUUUCUACCACUGCUAUUUGCUGCUGCUAUUUGCUACAAGUGCUUGCUGCUACAUACUACUUGCGGCUUCAUAAUACUUGCAGUUUCAUACUGCUCGCUGCUUCAAACUGCUGUCUGCUGUUGUCUUUUGUUGCUGCUACUCUCAUUCUGCUAGCUUGCUGCUCCUAUCGGCCGUUUCUGACUUUUUUAAAUUUGGAAGUUUUUCUUAUUUUCUCACUUUUUCCAAGCUAUAGAUCGAAGUUGAUUUUUUUAUAUAUAUAUAUUUUUGUUAUGAAUAUUAUCUUGUUUGGCCAAACAUUAAAAUUGGUGUUUAUAGAUUUUCUUUGAA